AGCCAACGAUGUAUAAAAUUGUCCCUACCAUCUGAGAUUUUCUUCUCUGAUGCAUUCAACAAAUUUGUUUUCUGAGGCUU